GACGAACGCUGGCGGCGUGCCUAAUACAUGCAGGUUGAGCGCUGAAGGUUGGUACUUGUACCGACUGGAUGAGCAGCGAACGGGUGAGUAACGCGUGGGGAAUCUGCCUUUGAGCGGGGGACAACAUUUGGAAACGAAUGCUAAUACCGCAUAAAAACUUUAAACACAAGUUUUAAGUUUGAAAGAUGCAAUUGCAUCACUCAAAGAUGAUCCCGCGUUGUAUUAGCUAGUUGGUGAGGUAAAGGCUCACCAAGGCGAUGAUACAUAGCCGACCUGAGAGGGUGAUCGGCCACAUUGGGACUGAGACACGGCCCAAACUCCUACGGGAGGCAGCAGUAGGGAAUCUUCGGCAAUGGACGAAAGUCUGACCGAGCAACGCCGCGGGAGUGAAGAAGGUUUUCGGAUCGUAAAACUCUGUUGGUAGAGAAGAACGUUGGUGAGAGUGGAAAGCUCAUCAAGUGACGGUAACUACCCAGAAAGGGACGGCUAACUACGUG
rnacentral:rRNA from 1 species